CUUUGCUCUUUCUUCACCUCUUAUGACCUAUUCAAUUAUAAAUCCAAUUCUCACGGCACUAAACCAGUAAACUACUCUGCCCUAUAAAAGAAGCAAUCAAGAGAUUACAAAAUGUCGAUGAUAAGCAAGAAGAGAUUAGAAUAUGGACAAAGGUAUACUAUCAUGAAGAGAUGACAAAUGCUUGAUAGUUGACAUUCCCACUGCCCAAAUUUAGUCCUUUGCUUUUCAAAACUCCAAGAGAGCUGUAACCAAACACAGCCAGCAAAGACGACAACCAGGUGAAUGAAGAAAGAGAUCUGAUAUAAGUUCGGAGGUAGUUGUUUCUUCCUACGCUUGAAUUCAUAAAAAAAAGGAAACAUUUUCAUAUUCGUUUUUGCCUUUUGCUUUUUACAAUAUUGUUUGUUUGCCUAAACUCUAAAAAAUGUACGUCAUUUAAUAUUGAGAAUU